CUGUUGAGGCGAGAUAAAGUGAACGUGACCGUCAAUACCAGCAGCAGUCAGAAUCAUAUGUUCGCCAGAGAUAGCGUCGGUAGACGGACCUGUCACGAGAUCGGGAUGUACUCCCUGCAUCACGUUCGGGUUGCCGGCCUUGCCGAUACCGGCGAUUUUUCCGUCUUUGAUACCUACGUCAGCCUUUACUACACCGAUGUUGGCAUCAAUGAUAGUCACAUUGGUGAUGACGAGGUCGAGUGAACCUUCUUUAGAAGUCAUGGUAUUGGCAAGUCCCAUGCCGUCACG
rnacentral:sRNA from 1 species